GUUUUACUGAUGCUUUACAAUCCAGGAUGAGUUGCAAACUAGCAAGGCAUUAGUCCUUUGUGUCAGACAAUCUUCCUCUUUUAGCUGUAGAAGACAACGUCCACACACCACAUCUGUCACAUAACUGAUAACUGUGCAUUUUAGUUGUAUCAUCCCUCAGGAAGCAUGAGUUUGCAGUCUUCGUAGAGCUAUGCCAAGUUCAGUUUC
rnacentral:lncRNA from 1 species